UACAGAGGUUCUGAGGCCAAUUACACCCCUAUGGAGAAGGAAAUCUUAGCAGCGUACGAAGGCAUAGGAGCAGCUUCAGAGCUUUGAGAUUCAGC